rnacentral:rRNA from 1 species
GAUGAACGCUGACAGAAUGCUUAACACAUGCAAGUCAACUUGAACUUCGGUUUGGGUGGCGGACGGGUGAGUAACGCGUAAAGAACUUGCCUCACAGCUAGGGACAACAUUUGGAAACGAAUGCUAAUACCUGAUAUUAUGAUUUUAGGGCAUCCUAGAAUUAUGAAAGCUAUAUGCGCUGUGAGAGAGCUUUGCGUCCCAUUAGCUAGUUGGAGAGGUAACGGCUCACCAAGGCGAUGAUGGGUAGCCGGCCUGAGAGGGUGAUCGGCCACAAGGGGACUGAGACACGGCCCUUACUCCUACGGGAGGCAGCAGUGGGGAAUAUUGGACAAUGGACCAAGAGUCUGAUCCAGCAAUUCUGUGUGCACGAUGAAGUUUUUCGGAAUGUAAAGUGCUUUCAGUUGGGAAGAAAAAAAUGACGGUACCAACAGAAGAAGUGACGGCUAAAUACGUGCCAGCAGCCGCGGUAAUACGUAUGUCACAAGCGUUAUCCGGAUUUAUUGGGCGUAAAGCGCGUCUAGGUGGUUAUAUAAGUCUGGUGUGAAAAUGCAGGGCUCAACUCUGUAUUGCGUUGGAAACUGUGUAACUAGAGUACUGGAGAGGUAAGCGGAACUACAAGUGUAGAGGUGAAAUUCGUAGAUAUUUGUAGGAAUGCCGAUGGGGAAGCCAGCUUACUGGACAGAUACUGACGCUGAAGCGCGAAAGCGUGGGUAGCAAACAGG